CCUACGGGAGGCAGCAGUGAGGAAUAUUGGUCAAUGGACGAGAGUCUGAACCAGCCACGUCGCGUGAGGGAUGAAGGUUCUAUGGAUCGUAAACCUCUUUUAUAAGGGAAUAAAGUGUGGGACGUGUCCUGUUUUGUAUGUACCUUAUGAAUAAGGAUCGGCUAACUCCGUGCAAGCAGCCGCGGUAAUACGGAGGGUCCGAGCGUUAUCCGGAUUUAUUGGGUUUAAAGGGUGCGUAGGCGGCCUUCUAAGUCAGCGGUGAACGUCUGUGGCUCAACCAUAGAAUUGCCGGUGAAACUGGGAGGCUUGAGUAUGUGUGAGGCAGGCGGAAUUCGUGGUGUAGCGGUGAAAUGCUUAGAUAUCACGCAGAACCCCGGUUGCGAAGGCAGCCUGCCAAGCCAUAACUGACGCUGAUGCACGAAAGCGUGGGGAUCAAACAGGAUUAGAUACCCCUGUAGUC
rnacentral:rRNA from 1 species